rnacentral:rRNA from 1 species
CGCGGCCUAUCAGCUUGUUGGUGAGGUAACGGCUCACCAAGGCAGCGACGCGUAGCUGGUCUGAGAGGACGAUCAGCCACACUGGGAUUGAGACACGGCCCAGACUCGUACGGGAGGCAGCAGCAGGGAAUAUUGCACAAUGGGCGAAAGCCUGAUGCAGCGACGCCGCGUGAGGGAUGAAGGCCCUCGGGUUGUAAACUUCUUUCAGGAGGGACGAAGCGAAAGAGACGGUACCUCCAGAAGAAGCCCCGGCCCAUUACGUGCCAGCAGCCGCGGUAAUACGUAGGGGGCGAACGUUGUCCGGAUUUAUUGGGCGUAAAGAGCUCGUAGGCGGUUCAGUAAGUCGGGUGUGAAAACUCUGGGCUCAACCCAGAGACGCCACCCGAUACUGCUGUGACUUGAGUACGGUAGGGGAGCGGGGAAUUCUUGGUGUAGCGGUGAAAUGCGCAGAUAUCAGGAGGAACUCCAGUGGCGAAGGGGCCGCUUUGGUCCGUAACUGACGCUGAGGACAGAAAGCCUGGGUAGCAAACAGGAUUAGAUACCCUGGUAGUCCACACCGUCAACGUUGGGCAUUAGGUGUGGGUCUCAACCAACGAGAUCCGCGCCGUCGCUACCGCAUUAAGUGCCCCGCCUGGGGAGUAGGGA